AUUGAACGCUGGCGGCAUGCUUUACACAUGCAAGUCGAACGGUAACAGGCCUUCGGGUGCUGACGAGUGGCGAACGGGUGAGUAAUGCAUCGGAACGUACCCAGAGGUGGGGGAUAACGCAGCGAAAGCUGUGCUAAUACCGCAUGUGAUCUGAGGAUGAAAGCGGGGGACCGAGCAGCAAUGUUUGGCCUCGCGCCUUUGGAGCGGCCGAUGUCGGAUUAGCUAGUUGGUGGGGUAAAGGCCUACCAAGGCGACGAUCCGUAGCUGGUCUGAGAGGACGACCAGCCACACUGGGACUGAGACACGGCCCCGACUCCUACGGGAGGCAGCAGUGGGGAAUUUUGGACAAUGGGCGCGAGCCUGAUCCAGCAAUGCCGCGUGCGGGAAGAAGGCCUUCGGGUUGUAAACCGCUUUUGGCAGGAACGAAACGGUGUCCGCUAAUACCGGGCGCUAAUGACGGUACCUGCAGAAUAAGCACCGGCUAACUACGUG
rnacentral:rRNA from 1 species